rnacentral:rRNA from 1 species
AGAGUUUGAUCCUGGCUCAGAACGAACGCUGGCGGCAGGCCUCAAACAUGCAAGUCUAGGGGGUGUAGCAAUACAUCACCGGCGGACGGGUGCGUAACGCGUGGGAAUAUACCUUUUGGUUCGGAACAACUGAGGGAAACUUCAGCUAAUACCGAAUGUGCCCUUACGGGGAAAGAUUUAUCGCCAAAGGAUUAGCCCGCGUAGGAUUAGCUAGUUGGUGAGGUAAUGGCUCACCAAGGCUCCGAUCCUUAGCUGUUCUGAGAGGAAGAUCAGCCACACUGGGACUGAGACACGGCCCAGACUCCUACGGGAGGCAGCAGUUGGGAAUCUUGGACAAUGGGGGAAACCCUGAUCCAGCCAUGCCGCGUGAGUGAUGAAGGCCUUCGGGUUGUAAAACUCUUUCGACGGGGACGAUAAUGACGGUACCCGUAGAAGAAGCUCCGGCUAACUUCGUGCCAGCAGCCGCGGUAAUACGAAGGGGGCUAGCGUUGUUCGGAAUUACUGGGCGUAAAGCGCGCGCAGGCGGCUAUCCAAGUCAGUGGUGAAAGCCCGGAGCUCAACUCCGGAACUGCCAUUGAAACUGUUUAGCUUGAGGACGAGAGAGGUGAGUGGAAUUCCCAGUGUAGAGGUGAAAUUCGUAGAUAUUGGGAAGAACACCGGUGGCGAAGGCGGCUCACUGGCUCGUAUCUGACGCUCAGGCGCGACAGCGUGGGGAUCAAACAGGAUUAGAUACCCUAGUAGUCC